GGGUACCAACCAAGCCAACAAUCUCAACAACAACAACAACAACAGAAUCAAAAUACUCCCAUGCUAGAGAUACAACUUCCAAUUUCUAUAGAAAAUAGCAAGAUUUAGCCAAAAGGAAAUAUUCAGCUACAACAGGUGAGGCAAACUGUGACAUGGAAACAGAUUAUACUGCUAUACUGGUGGUUUCAGAAAUUCAUGUCAGUGACUUGACUGAGGUUUCUGUAUCAUCAUUGAUCAUUAAAUCCAUUUUUAGCUCAUUCCCAGUUUAAGUAAUAUCCAUGACCUUUAGAGAAGGUUUACCUUACUCUCAUCAAAAUCGAAGUC